rnacentral:rRNA from 1 species
ACACGGAGGGCGCAAGCGUUGCUCGGAAUCACUGGGCGUAAAGCGGGUGUAGGCGGUCUAGCAAGUCAGAUGUGAAAGCCCACGGCUCAACCGUGGAAGUGCAUCUGAAACUGCUAGACUUGAGUGCCGGAGAGGGAAGUGGAAUUCCUGGUGUAGGGGUGAAAUCCGUAGAUAUCAGGAGGAGCACCGGUGGCGAAGGCGACUUCCUGGACGGCCACUGACGCUGAGACCCGAAAGCGUGGGGAGCAAACAGGAUUAGAAACCCUAGUAGUCC